rnacentral:rRNA from 1 species
UACGUAGGGGGCAAGCGUUAUCCGGAUUUACUGGGUGUAAAGGGAGCGUAGACGGCAGCGCAAGUCUGGAGUGAAAUGCCGGGGCCCAACCCCGGAACUGCUUUGGAAACUGUGCGGCUUGAGUGCGGGAGAGGUAGGCGGAAUUCCUAGUGUAGCGGUGAAAUGCGUAGAUAUUAGGAGGAACACCAGUGGCGAAGGCGGCUUACUGGACCGUAACUGACGUUGAGGCUCGAAAGCGUGGGGAGCAAACAGG